CCUACGGGUGACAGCAGUGGGGGAUAUUGCACAAUGGGGGAAACCCUGAUGCAGCGACGCCGCGUGAGUGAAGAAGUAUUUCGGUAUGUAAAGCUCUAUCAGCAGGGAAGAAAAUGACAGUACCUGAUCAAGAAGCACUGGCUAACUCCGUGCCAGCAGCCGCGGUAAUACGUAGGGGGCAAGCGCUAUGCGGUUUUACUGGGUGGAAAGGGAUCGUAGACGGUUUUGUAAGUCUGGAGUGAAAGCCCGGGGCCCAACCCCGGGACUGCUUUGGAAACUGUGUAACUGGAGUACAGGAGGGGCUGGCGGAAUUCCUGGUGUAGCAGUGAAAUGCGUAGAUAUCUGGAGGAACACCGGCGGCGAAGGCGGCUUGCUGGACUGCAACUGACGUUGAGGCUCGAAAGCGUGGGGAGCAAACAGGAUUAGAUACCCUAGUAGUC
rnacentral:rRNA from 1 species